rnacentral:lncRNA from 1 species
UCCCGGGGAGGGGGCGGGCGUGUGCGUCCAGGGCUGGGCUAAGCGGAGGACAAACAGCUGGCGACUGUCAGGGUCUGGCCGCCUCCCCGCUGCCCACACGCACCUACUCUCGCCCGGGACGCUCAUUUUCCUUCCCUCGCCACGAGUUCACCUGGGACUUUGGAAAUAACUGUGCGGUGGAAGCUGCGCUCCUGCCUUGUCAUUUGCUGGGGGCGGGUGGCGGUGGUCAAGGAAGUGAACUUAUUUUGUUUCUUCACAAAGACUGGACCAGGCGGUGCCUUUCACGCGAAGAGGUUACAACCACGGACACCUCCUCAGAUACACUGUGUGCGCGAGGCAGCACCUCCGGCCCAAGGCAAUAAUCAUUUCACAGAAAACGCACCGCCCCGAGUGUCUUAUUGCUGUGAUGAAAUGGAAAUUUAAAUAAAAGGUCGAACACGUGCGUUCACUGGGAAGUAUUGACAUGGGUGUUACAUCACCAGCAGCCAAUCAGAUAACUCCAGUCAUGUUUAUACUUCUACAAACCACCUUGUGAGUAUUACAGUAUGUCAUAACGUUAUAAAUAUUAGGCAGGGUUUUCCCCGGCAGCGGGGAGGAGUCUGCUUAUACGGGCGUUGUGUGCGGCUCCGAAGAUUGUAUGUGACUCCGAAGAUCGUGUUUAAUGACAAGCAUCAUUUUUUAAGACUUUUUUUUAGCUGUUUAUAUUUCAUAUGGAAUUUUUACAUAGAAUGAUUAGAGCAGAUUGAGCUGGAAAUGAACCUCCCAUAACUAUAAUCUUAGUGAGAUUUUUAAGAAAAAGGUCUUACAAUUCCAAGCCCUUAAACUUCUGACUUAAAUAUUUUAAUACGCUAAAUUUAGCAAAUUCUGAAGUGUUUAAAUUCAUUUACUAAUUUGCAAUGUAAGAUAAAUCUUAUUUUGGGGCAAACAUAUUUCGGGUAAAAAAAAAGUUCUCCAACUGGAAAGAUUUUUUUCCUCUUUCAAGAAAUAUGUUUAUUAGAAAUCGGAACACUAAUAUAAAAUAAAUUCAAAAUAAUUGUUGAGCCAGGCGUGGUUGAGGCGCAGGCAGCUCCAAAGGCUGAGGUAAGAGGAUUAGGGAGUUCAAAGCCAGCCUCAGCCACUCUGCAAGACCAAGUCUCAAAAUAAAAUGUAACCAAAGGGUUGGGGGUGUGGCUCAGUGGUUAAGCACCCCUGGGGGUUGAAUCCCUGAUACCAAAAAAAAAAAAAAAAAAACACGUUAAUGUAGUCUUGUGAUUACUGUCUUUUUUUUCUGUUUUUAAGAGAAAAACAAUAUUUAAGUCUUCAAAUAUAUAAUGUGAAAUAGGCUAUUUUCAAGGUAGCUUUUAAAAACAAAUUUUCCUGAACAGAUUAUAAAAUACCAUGAACUAAGCACAUGCUUGCACAUCCAGACUCAUAUAUUGAUUGUAUAGAUUGAUUCAAAGCCACUUUCACUUAAUUCACUGUAAUUUUAGCAUCAGUAUAGUGUUGUAUAUCAAACAAUAACAUUAGUUCUACCUUACAGAUUAAAUGUAAUUUCAAUAUAAAGAAUGACACUACUACCCUCCCACCAAAGGACUUGAACUUUGAGUUAUUUUUCCAAUGAUAAGCUUAUUGUCACCUAUCCUUGUUGUCCAACCUGGGCACCAGUAAUCCACAAGCUUGAAAUUGCAAUACAGGUCUUCAGGUUGGUGCAGUUUGUAGGUCUAUGACCUGGACCUAAUUUGUACCUUAAAAAAUGAGAGAAUUCUCCCUAUUGUGCUUUAUGUAAUUUGUGCCAUGUAUAAAAGAAUUAACAAUAAUACCAUUCUUUGUCCUUAGUGCAUUUUUAGAAUUCUAGGCAUUUUUAAAAUAUUAUAUUUUAACCGUUAUAGUCGCUUUCCCCAUUUAAAAAAGGAGUUACUGAAGUUAAUUGCUUAACUGAGAUGAAGGUGAUGGGAAGUAGAAAUGGACUUUUCAACUAUAAAAUUUGUUUUCAUUCCAAAACUGUUAAAUUCAAAUCUUUGCUUUCUCUCAUUUUAUAUCCCUAUUGCACAAUAGGUACUCUAUUAGUUUAUGCUACUGUAAUUAUAUUUGCUUUCUAAUGGUGUUAGAAUCAACCAAAAGUGUUCAAAUUCUUAAUGGUGCUAUUUUGUUCAAACAUAUAUCUUACCUUAUGUUAUACAAAAUCUACAUUGUUGUCUGUCUGGAAUUGUUUUAUCAUGAACUGAUUAGAAAUGAAUAAUACUAGAUUCAAGUGAUAAAAAUAAAAUGCUUAAAUUCUAGGACCUCUGCACUAACAGCCAAACAAGCACCAGUCAGUCUGGUGUGUGUGUGUGUGUGUGUGUGUGUGUGCGCGCGCGCGCACAUAAGCACACAUACAUACUUGUGUAUAUAUUUAUCACUCUGUGUAUAUGUAUAAAUACACACUCACACAUGCAUAAAUAUACAUAUUCAGUUGUUUUCCUCUGAACCCUGAAGGAAGAUUGGAAACCUUGAAGGAAUCAGGAAAAAAGUUUAAAGGGAUAAUAAUCACAAAUAUCUCAGAAUACCCGAUAACAAGGGAACUUUGAGUAACAGAAGGGGAUCUCCUGCUCUGUAAAUGGAGUUUUUAGGAAUUCCCCCACCCCUUCCAGUCUCUUACUAGCAAGCAGGGAUCUGUUCUCCCCAAUAACCCAUAUAUGUACUGUUAGGGUUCUACCAUAUUUAAGGGAAUUCCCCCUAAUGCUUACCAGGGGAACCCCUCAAGAAUGGGGCAUCCCCAACCAAUUUGUCCCCUAAUUUCACUUCAGGCAAUGUAAAACUGCUGGAGGUUAUGCUUGAUGUUGUUUUCCCAUAACUCUGAUGGUGAUUAGCUCCUAUAACUGGCUCAGUAGUUGAUCUUUCAUGAUCAGACUGUCCUUGGUAGAGGUAUGUUGCGUCUAUCAGCAUUUUUGCCUCUUCAGGGUCUAGAGACAAUCACCUAUGAUGCUAUAAGUGGAAAUUGACAUGAUCAUCCACCAGAAGGAUGUAUGUGAGGUUAGGAGACCACCUUAUACUCCCCAACCUAUAGGCCCAGGCUGGCACAAAAUAGGCAAAUAAAUAGUAAAUGUUUAUUGGGUAAUUUACUGCAUCUUCCCUUGCGAUCUAUUUUGAUAAACAAACUUUUCUUCUGUUUGAUUUUUAUUUUUCUUGGUUAAAUAACAGUUAUUCUUCAAGUAUUGAGUUAAUGUUUCCAUUGCAUUUACAUUAAAUGUAAUAAAAUAUGACUAUAGUUAAGUAAUAUUACUAGUAUCAUUAUCUAUGUAGUUACAGUGAAUUACCAUCAGUUUACACAGUGUCCUUGUGAAUUAAAUCAAGGUAGCAAUUAUUAUUAUCAUUUAACACAUGGAGAAACCCUGGUACAAAAAGGUUAACUAUUUUGUUCUGGGUUUUUGAGGCAAAAGUUAAGUUUAUAAGGUUACCCACAAGAGUAAAAUACCCUUCCAUCUAAGGCACCCUUUGCCACUAAAGUAUGUAUUAACAAUGUUAUAUCUGCAUAAUUUUUAACUACACAAAAUUUUUAAAUUUCUUGUGCAAAUAUGCUUAUUUCCAGACUUAAGGACUAACAUGUAAUAUAGUCUUCCUUUUCAGUGCCUAGCUAAAAUUGUAUUUUGGUCUUUAUAGGUUGGAUCCUAGCAUAUUUGUUACAUUUAUUACUAUGUUUAAUAUCAUUAAAUAUUUUAAUGAUAUACCAUAAUUGAUUAAUCCUUCAUUGUUGAAUAUUUCAUUGUUUACAUUUUUUGUUUGGUUUUUUCACAUAACUCUUUAGUGACCAUCCUCC